rnacentral:rRNA from 1 species
AGGGUACGCGGUGGAUGCCUUGGCGCAGAGAGGCGAUGAAGGACGUGGUAAGCUGCGAUAAGCCUCGGGGAGCCGCAAACAGGCUUUGAUCCGAGGAUUUCCGAAUGGGGCAACCUGGCAGAGGUCAUGCUCUGUCACCGCGAGCUGAAUGCAUAGGCUCGAGGGAGCGAACGGGGGGAAGUGAACCAUCUCAGUACCCCCAGGAAGAGAAAACAAGAGUGAUUCCGUCAGUAGCGGCGAGCGAACGCGGAAGAGCCCAAACCGAUCAGGUGCAAGCCUGCAAGCGUUGCCUGGUUGGGGUUGAGGGAUGUUGCUGGGUUCGGUUGCAGCCGGACCGGGGAGUUAAAAAUCACCAGCCUAGCAGAAGGAUUCUGGAACGAGCCGCCGUAGAGGGUGAAAGCCCCGUAAGCGAAAGGUUCGGUGACUCCCUUGCAGUAUUCCCGAGUACCACGGGACACGUGGAACCCUGUGGGAAUCUGGGUCGACCAUGACCCAAGGCUAAAUACUCCUCUGCGACCGAUAGUGCACAAGUACCGUGAGGGAAAGGUGAAAAGCACCCCUGUUAGGGGAGUGAAAUAGUACCUGAAACCGCGUAUCUACAAGCAGUGGAAGCACUAUGACCUUCGGGUCAGUGCGACCGCGUGCCUUUUGCAUAAUGAGCCGGCUAGUUACUGUCACUGGCAAGGCGAAGCGACGUGCUGAGCCGUAGCGAAAGCGAGUCUGAAUAGGGCGAUUCAGUCAGUGGUAGUACACGCGAAGCGAGAUGAUCUAGCCAUGGCCAGGGUGAAGCUGCGGUAACACGCAGUGGAGGCCCGAACCAGUGUUGGUUGAAAACAACUUGGAUGAGCUGUGGCUAGGGGUGAAAGGCUAAUCAAAUCUCGUCAUAGCUCGUUCUCCUCGAAAUAGCUUUAGGGCUAGCCUCGUGGAUUGCAUCGCGGAGGUAGAGCACUGAAUGGACUAGGGGCCCUACAAGGUUACCGAAUCCAAUCAAACUCCGAAUGCCGUGCAUGUGUACCACGGGAGUCAGACUACGGGGGAUAAGCUCCGUGGUCGAGAGGGAAACAACCCAGACCGCCAGCUAAGGUCCCAAAGUAUCAGCUAAGUGGAAAAGGAUGUGGAGACGCCCUGACAGCCAGGAGGUUGGCUUAGAAGCAGCCAUCCUUUAAAGAAAGCGUAAUAGCUCACUGGUCAAGUGGCUCCGUGCCGAUAAUUCAACGGGGCUCAAGCUGAUCACCGAAGCUGCGGACUUCCCUUCGGGGGAGUGGUAGAGGAGCAUUCCGUGGGCGUCGAAGUCAGACCGAAAGGACUGGUGGAGCGCACGGAAGAGACCCUGCCGGCACAAGUAGCGAUAAAGCAUGUGAGAACCAUGCUCGCCGAAAGUCUAAGGUUUCCUGAGGAAGGUCAAUCCGCUCAGGGUUAGUCGGUCCCUAAGGCGAGGCCGAAAGGCGUAGUCGAUGGGAAACAGGUUAAUAUUCCUGUACCAGCUAGAGCUCGUUAUUACGAUGGGGUGACGCAGAAGGAUAGCCCAGCCUGCCAUUGGAUGUGCAGGUUCAAGCGUGUAGGCGGGGAUGGUAGGCAAAUCCGCCGUCCCUUAACGCUGAGGCGUGAUGUCGAGGCCUUCGGGCCGCAAAGUGGGUGACUCCAUACUGCCAAGAAAAACCUCUAAGGAGAGCGUUGGCUGACCGUACCGCAAACCGACACAGGUAGACGGGGAGAGAAUCCCAAGGCGCUUGAGUGAUCCCCUGUGAAGGAACUCGGCAAACUCACACCGUAACUUCGGGAGAAGGUGUGCCGUCGGGAGUGUAGGAGCUUGCCUCCGAAGCACCUGGCGGUCGCAGUGAAAAGUCCCAGGCGACUGUUUACUAAAAACACAGGACUCUGCAAAGUCAAAAACGACGUAUAGGGUCUGACGCCUGCCCGGUGCCGGAAGGUUAAGAGGAGGGGUUAGCCGCAAGGCGAAGCUCUGAAUCGAAGCCCCGGUAAACGGCGGCCGUAACUAUAACGGUCCUAAGGUAGCGAAAUUCCUUGUCGGGUAAGUUCCGACCUGCACGAAUGGCGUAACGAUCUGGGAGCUGUCUCCACAGGGGGCUCAGCGAAUCUGUAGCACCGGUGAAGAUGCCGGUUACCCGCACGUAGACGGAAAGACCCUGUGCACCUUUACUGCACCCUGGCAGUGAACCCCGGUGCGCUAUGUGUAGGAUAGGUGGGAGGCUGUGAAGCCGGAGCGCUAGCUUCGGUGGAGCCACCGGUGAAAUACCACCCUUAGCGUACUGGAGUUCUAACAGAGGUCCGUGAUCCGGAUCCUGGACAUUGUCAGGCGGGUAGUUUGACUGGGGCGGUCGCCUCCCAAACCGUAACGGAGGCGCGCGAAGGUUCCCUCAGGCUGAUUGGAAACCAGCCGUAGA